rfam:Bacillus sp. KCTC 13219 scaffold24.1, whole genome shotgun sequence.
UCUAGURAUGAUGGCAAAGAGGUCACACCCGUUCCCAUACCGAACACGGAAGUUAAGCUCUUUAGCGCCGAUGGUAGUUGGGGGCU